ACACGCAGAAAAAUAAAUUGUAAACACAAUUAAAUUCUAGUUCAAAUCAACCGAUUUUUCAGUUUACUAUAGCGACAAACUGAUUUCUAGUUAAAACUGAACUGUUCUAUUGUUUGAUAAUACAAAUAUUUUCGUUUGUCGGAAUUUUUGACAGUUUGUUAAAACAAACAGACAUAUGGUAUUUUCAACAUGAGAUAAUGGAUUGAUUCAAACGACUGCACUUUUGCCACUAACAAACCCGGAAUGUGAUUGGGUUGGUGACGGCAGCAACUGCGGCAGCUCGGAAAUCUAUUUUUAGACCGUCGGUAAGCGGAUGGGGAGGAGACCGACUAAAAAUAAGACAAAAAAUGCGAAACCGAUCAACUUUUUGUGGAUGCUGUCGUGAGUACCUGCGCGUUAUCCAUCACUGCCAAAGCUGCACUUGGAAGUUGGCGUGAUGGAUUGCUACACCUUCUUCGUUGUGGCGAUGUUGGGGUAAGCAUUUUAUAGAUGUGUGAGUGCUUUCGGACCAUGUUUAUGGUUUUUAUUUUGUUGAAACAAAUGAAAUUUUUGACAUUAUAUGAAAUGAUGGUAAUCGGUUGUUUUUAUCGAUAAACUCUAAAUGAAAACAAUUAAAUAUAACUUUGGAAUAAGUAAAUUCUCAGUUUGAAAAUCAACCAUGCGUUUUAUUGUUUUAAACAAGCGCCAUUUUUCUGCGUGUAUGACUAGUUUCAACUUCGCACGUAUUGCUUAUCCAGAGAAAUCUUCCAACCUGGCGGAGUGAAGAAGACAAAGAAGACCUGUUCCGCAAACGUCAAACUGCUGCACACUUCAAAAAGUAUGCACACAACCUUGAAACAAAAAUAAAUAGUUGAGAAUCUAAAUUAUGUUUAAUGGCGUACAGCUGCAUACUAAAGUGCUAAAACUACACCUAAUAUAGUUUAGAAAUAAGUUACAUGUUGUGGCAGCAAUUGCGAUUACAUAAACCAUAAAUGAAACAAUUUUCAUUAUUUUUGAAUUUUAUGGCAACCAAAUGAGUGAGAGCUUUUUAGCGUGAACCGAGCACUUUUGACGUUUGCGGAACGACUGCGGCGGUCGAAACCACCGCAACCCCGUUGGAUUUUUUCUAUUUUACCGCAGUAUUCCGUAAGGAAAAGUAACGAUUCUCCCCACACGAAGAAACUGAAAAACUCAAAAUUAGGUACUUUUAAACUCAAUUUUGAGUUCUUUUUCGUCUCCCUUUUCAUGCGCUCUUUCUAAUGUUGCCAGAGAGUGAAGAGAGAAACAGUGGGCUUUUGCAGUUCAGUGCGUCAAGCCAAAACUGAGUUUCUAGCACAGUACUCAAAUUUGAGUGAAUACAACCUAGUCAAAAUUUCGGUUGGGUGAAAAAACCCUAAAAUUAGGUAUUCCUUUCUCAUGGAAGCUAGCGGGAACAACCCAACAAAAACAUCGAUUCCAUCAACUCAAAAGUGGCUUGACGCACGCAACCCCGAAGUUGAGUGGAAAGAACUCACUUUUGGGUAGUUUCGUCUCUCCGUGCAUACUGGAUCAGUUGUCAAAAUUACUUGCGGAAAAAGGUGGAAUUUUACGUCAGCGCUGGAAAAGGUGGAUUUUUACUUCAGCGCUCUACUUGGCAACAAGAAACAGUUACUAAGCUUUACCUCCAUCAGCUGGCAGCACCGGCAGCAUAAGCCCAAGUACAGAUUAUAGACACUAUAGAUUCCAUAGACUCGUGGAGGCGAAGACAACUGUAGCCAAACGAGCAUGACGUCACGAUUUCAAUAGCAACAAUGGAUUGCGUGACGUCAUAUUCGCUCGGUACACUCUAAAUUCACGGCAAAACCAGGGAUAGGGUGCGACUCAAAACUCUUUGCGUGCCGCACACUCUGCUACGAGACAGCACAACAAACUAGAAGGAGACGAGUACACUGAACGGAAACAUCCUCCUGAAAACGAAAGAAUAAGGCAUUUUAUGAGACGUUUCAAAUCAGCUGUUUUUUGAAUGUUUACCAGCUUUGAAGCCCACCCGGUGGGCCCAUUUAUUUACAUUUUCGUUAGCAUAACAUGUGAUACGGACCCAUCCAAUAAACGGGGUUCAUUUAUCUGCAAAAAUGCGUCAAUCCGCCCACUAUAAUUAAUAUCCGUAGACCGUGAGAAUGUUUUUUCAUCUGCUAGUGACAUCAUACAGCUCGGGGGAUUGAUACAUGCCGCAUUAGAAACCGAAACAUCUCUGCCAGCAAAAAUCUGAUUGGCGCUCACCACAUGUUAUGCUACUUUUUGCGAAAACAAAAACAUCAAAUGUAAACAAUAACAUUGAGCGGCCCACCGGUAGAACGUCUCGUAAAAUAGCUUAUUGCCAUUCCCUUUCAUACGAAUUAGAAUACACGCUAUUCCAUAUGACUGCCACAACCGAAUGACGGAACACAGCUUCUCCGAAUGAUUGUCAGUUUAAUACUAUCACACAAUCAAAACAAAAACAGCAUAAACCGUCAUACGAUAAUUGAGUGAGGAGCAAGCAAGAGAGGAUCAUCUUCAAACUGGGUGAUGUUUGAUUCACGCGUGCCCCAUGACGCGCAUCAUCCAGUUUUCGCACACGCUUCUCAUUGCUUAUCAUCUGAUGAGUGAAACACCUCGCUUGCAUGGAAGUGCUGAUGGUUCAUUAGCAUAAUUUUGUCUUGUCCGGCAGCCAUGUUGGUGUGUUCGUCGAAUUUCAUUUAAGUUUAUUUUAAUAUUUCAAGUUUUUGUUGGGUGAUUAAAAAUAUUCGUCAUAUACCUUCGAUCGUUGCUGUGAUGAUAAGGAGCACCUCGACGACCGAAAAAGACGGCGAUGCGUGCGGCGAUGGAUCAUCCUCAAUUGCCUAAUCCGUCUACCCGCCAAGUAACUGCGUCGCAAGCUAUACGACGGAGCCUAAUAAAGACCUAAAGACCAGAUUGAAUAUACAAAUGCCAAAUUCUUGGUGAAAAGUGCUGUUGAUAUUAUUAUAAAUACAUACCAAAAGACAAAUAAAGUAUUUCUGAAUUUUACAGGAAAAAGCACUUAACUUUCAUUUCUAUAAAAGCAUGCCCGGUUUAUUUUUUUAAGAAAAAUACAAAAUCGAAUAUAAGAAUUUCAUUCACAAUCCAAUUUCUUUUUAGUUAUAAUACGAAUAAAAAGCAUACGAAUCGAAUAAGAUUUUCAAUUGACUAUGAUUUUGAAAGUCUUACUGGAAUCGGAUGACAUGCAUACGAUUGUUCACCAUCCGGUGGUGAACCGGAGCGUAUGGUCAUCAUCCGAUUUUCGACUGCUUGUCGUCAAAGGGCUCGACCGUAUCAAUUUUCAGUCGCUUAGAGGAUGAAGCUUUGGUUCAGUGUACGCGCAAUCGGUUGUGUGUUGCUCGCUUACUUUGCCGCGCGCAGGAGCUCUCCUGUCUCUCACGCUUUUUCGUAUGCACUCUCUCGGUGCUUGUCUCCGUGCUUGGCACUUGGCUUGAUACUACGCACGAUUGGAAAAAUAUUUUGAAUCAAACGACCCAUCACUUGUCAACCCUUGACAAGCUUAACCCGUAUCGGCCUGAGUCAGCGCAUAUGAACUAAAAAUGUCGCCGUUAAGCGAAUACACAACGGAUUUGAAUAUUUUUUUGACAGUGCACUUGUACAUAUGUCUAGUUUGUAAAAGUGGACAGAGAACGUCGGAAUGGUCCCUAUGGCCGGAGUUAUUCCGGUGGGUCACUGGGUCAGAUUCGUAUAAAAAGGGCUGUUUUUUGGUACACAGAGUGUUUUCCAUUAUGAUUCGCUAUUAAACUCACUCUAUUUUCACUAAAACUUAUACCUCUGUAACCAAACAUUGUUUCCACACAGUUUUUGACCAUUUAGGAACUACCGGAUGUGGCCACCGGGCAUAAUCUCCGGAGGAACCUGCCACAUACUGUAUACUGGGGUACACUACCAUAACCCAUUUUUUGCAGCUCUAUGUAUUGACUUUAGCGGUAUAGUGUCUUAGAAGAAUUUGUUCUGUAUACUGAACUCUUUAUUUUGGGAUUUUCACUUUUGUGAUUAAUCCACCUAAAAGUGCGACAGAAAUUCACUUUUUUUCAAAAAUGAAGAUAGAGUGUUGGUGUCUUCUGCAAAGUUGUAGAAAAAUGUAUUGUUGGAAAGUUUGCCGAAAAAACUAUUACCUUAUUUGCUUAAUUAUAAGAGAUAUGUGUAGUUUUUUGUGAACGACCCCUCAAAAUAGUUUUUUGUUAUAUCUUUUUCAGGGGAUUUUUGGUAAUUUUCGUGUGUUCUACAAAGUUGUUCUUUGUUAUGAAAUACACAUCCUUCUGCUUUUUUAUCAUUGGAAUAACGCUCCAGGUGGAACAGAGCCUGCAUCUCAAGAAAAACAUAAAUAGAUGUUCUUAAUGAGUCCUUGGAGAAAUCCCUGGUGGAAUCAUGGAACGAAUAUUAUAGAAAUACCUGGAAUGAUAAUAGGUCUCUUCCAGAAUUUAUUGAAGGAAUUCCCCUUGCAAUAACAACCACUAGCGUAGGCAGCCUUUUCUUUUUUUCAUUAAUUCUUUUUGAUAAAUACUAAGAAAUGCGGGAUGAAGGAAAGGGCAAGUCCCUAGUCUUGUGUAUUUACAACUGAGAUUCCUAUGAAGGUGCUGCUGUGAAUCCUCCAGAUAUUUCUUUAAAAUUUCUUGCUGUGAUUCCUUCAGGGAUUUCCAGUAGUAUUUCAAGCAAAGUUCUUAAAGAGAGAAAUUAGGAAAAAUCAUUGGAAAUAUCUAUAGAAAUCCUUGGAGAAAUCACAGAAUGGAUUUGAAUAUGAUAACGUGGACAUACAGGGGAUAGACAAAAUGAUCGGGACAGGCAAAAUUUUUACUUUUCAAAAAAUGUUCAACUAGCUGUAACUUUUCGAAAAGUGCAUCGAAUAUUCUCAAAUUUUUACUGUAAGUUCAUCAACUAGUUGUGUAUCAGUGGUCCAAAUUUGAAAAAGAUCGGGCUAUUUUCCACGAAGUUAAAAACAUUCUUCAAAAAGGUAAAAUUAUCCGAUAGCCAAUUUUGAGCUGUUAUAUCUCAGAAUUCAAUGAACUGAUUUCAAUGAAUUUUUGACCAUUCAUGACUUAUAUAAUGACCUCUAAAAGACGUUUGACUUAUCUUGAAAUUUUUAACAAGAGGAAAAGUUAUAGCGAUUUCAUUUAUUUCACGAUUUUUUAGUAAAUUGAUCUAUUUUUAAUGUACAUCCCAUUACUUUCUCAAUUUGUUGUCGGCUAUGUUGUUACUUUCCUUCAAAACACAUUUAUAUAUAAGUCAUUUAGAGGAAAUUUAAAUGAAGUAUAAUUUGCAUCUUGAGUUUUGAAACGAUGUUGAAGUUUUGGAUAAUUUGGUGUUUUAUUAGAAAAAUAAUCUAUCCGUUAUAAUUUUCUUUCGUGUUAAGAAUUUUAAGUUAAGUCAAAAGUUUUUGAUCCCUCAUUAUGUAAGUCAUAAUUGGUCAAAAUUUCAUUUCAUUCGGUUUAUUGAAUCCGGAGAUAUAACAGCUCAAAGUUGGCUGUCGGAUAAAUAUACCUUUUUCUUAGAAUCUUUAUAACUUCGUGCAGAAUAGCCCGAUCUUUUCCAAAAUUGGACCACUAAUACACAACUAAAUGAUCAACUUACAGUAAAAAAUUUAGAAUAUUUGAUGCACUUUUGGAAAAGUUACAGCUGCAUGAAAAUUUUUUGAGAGGUGAAAAUUUUGCCUGUCCCGAUCAUUUUGUCUAUCCCCUGUACUUCUGGAGCAAUCUCAGCAAGAAUUUCAGCAUUUCAGCAGGAAUUCCUUGGGACGUUAUCCAAAGAUUACUUCAUAUUCCCAAGAGUUCCUCUUGACAUUUUCAGCGGAUUUCUCCAAGAGUUUCUUCAGGAAUUCCUCUAGAAAAUAUUCUAGGAUACCUACCGUGAUUUCUGCAUUGAUCCAUUGUGUGUUGUUCUCAAAGUUCUGUGCCAAAGUUAUCCUGAAUCGGAUACAAAAGAAAACAGACGCGGCUCUCCGGCGGCAGUUGACUAUAUUAUCACGCUCCGUAUUAUACUGGAGCAGGUGAACGAAUUCCAAGAGUCCCUCUUUUUGGUGUUCAUUGAGUACAAAAAAGCUUUCGAUCGUCUGAGCCAUGAAAAUCUGUGGGGC